AGUGAACGCUGGCGGUAGGCCUAACACAUGCAAGUCGAACGGCAGCACAGUAAGAGCUUGCUCUUACGGGUGGCGAGUGGCGGACGGGUGAGGAAUACAUCGGAAUCUACUUUUUCGUGGGGGAUAACGUAGGGAAACUUACGCUAAUACCGCAUACGACCUACGGGUGAAAGCAGGGGUUCUUCGGACCUUGCGCGAUUGAAUGAGCCGAUGUCGGAUUAGCUAGUUGGCGGGGUAAAGGCCCACCAAGGCGACGAUCCGUAGCUGGUCUGAGAGGAUGAUCAGCCACACUGGAACUGAGACACGGUCCAGACUCCUACGGGAGGCAGCAGUGGGGAGUAUUGGACAAUGGGCGCAAGCAUGAUCCAGCCAUACCGCGUGGGUGAAGAAGGCCUUCGGGUUGUAAAGCCCUUUUGUUGGGAAAGAAAAGCAGCAGGUUAAUACCCCGCUGUUCUGACGGUACCCAAAGAAUAAGCACCGGCUAACUUCGUG
rnacentral:rRNA from 1 species